rnacentral:rRNA from 1 species
CACGCCGUAAACGAUGAAUACUAGGUGUAGGGGGUGUUAAAACUCUCUGUGCCGGAGUUAACACAAUAAGUAUUCCACCUGGGGAGUACGGCCGCAAGGCUGAAACUCAAAGGAAUUGACGGGGACCCGCACAAGCAGUGGAGUAUGUGGUUUAAUUCGAAGCAACGCGAAGAACCUUACCGGGGCUUGACAUCCCUCUGACAGGUAUAGAGAUAUACCUUUCCUUCGGGACAGAGGAGACAGGUGG